rnacentral:tRNA from 1 species
GGCUCAUUGGUGAAAUGGUUAACACAUCGCCCUCUCAAGGCGACAUUCAUGGGUUCAAAUCCCAUAUGAGUCACCA